GACGAACGCUGGCGGCGUGCUUAACACAUGCAAGUCGAACGCUGAAGACCUGGCUUUUGUUGGGUUGGAUGAGUGGCGAACGGGUGAGUAACACGUGAGUAACCUGCCCUCUUCUCUGGGAUAACGCCCGGAAACGGGUGCUAAUACUGGAUAUUCACUGAUCUUCGCAUGGGGGUUGGUGGAAAGGUUUGUUCUGGUGGGGGAUGGGCUCGCAGCCUAUCAGCUUGUUGGUGGGGUGAUGGCCUACCAAGGCUUUGACGGGUAGCCGGCCUGAGAGGGUGACCGGUGAAUUUAGAACUGCGCUACGGCACAGACUCAUACGGGAGGCAGCAGUGGGGAAUAUUGCACAAUGGGCGGAAGCCUGAUGCAGCGGCGCCGCGUGAGGGAUGGAGGCCUUCGGGUUGUAAACCUCUUUCGCUCAUGGUCAAGCCUGAACUGUGGGUUGUGGUGAGGGUAGUGGGUAAAGAAGCGCCGGCUAACUACGUG
rnacentral:rRNA from 1 species